rnacentral:rRNA from 1 species
AGAGUUUGAUCCUGGCUCAGGACGAACGCUGGCGGCGCGCCUAACACAUGCAAGUCGAACGAGCGAGAGAGAGCUUGCUUUCUCGAGCGAGUGGCGAACGGGUGAGUAACGCGUGAGGAACCUGCCUCAAAGAGGGGGACAACAGUUGGAAACGACUGCUAAUACCGCAUAAGCCCACGACCCGGCAUCGGGUAGAGGGAAAAGGAGCAAUCCGCUUUGAGAUGGCCUCGCGUCCGAUUAGCUAGUUGGUGAGGUAACGGCCCACCAAGGCGACGAUCGGUAGCCGGACUGAGAGGUUGAACGGCCACAUUGGGACUGAGACACGGCCCAGACUCCUACGGGAGGCAGCAGUGGGGAAUAUUGCACAAUGGGGGAAACCCUGAUGCAGCGACGCCGCGUGGAGGAAGAAGGUCUUCGGAUUGUAAACUCCUGUUGUUGAGGAAGAUAAUGACGGUACUCAACAAGGAAGUGACGGCUAACUACGUGCCAGCAGCCGCGGUAAAACGUAGGUCACAAGCGUUGUCCGGAAUUACUGGGUGUAAAGGGAGCGCAGGCGGGAAGACAAGUUGGAAGUGAAAUCCAUGGGCUCAACCCAUGAACUGCUUUCAAAACUGUUUUUCUUGAGUAGUGCAGAGGUAGGCGGAAUUCCCGGUGUAGCGGUGGAAUGCGUAGAUAUCGGGAGGAACACCAGUGGCGAAGGCGGCCUACUGGGCACCAACUGACGCUGAGGCUCGAAAGUGUGGGUAGCAAACAGGAUUAGAUACCCUGGUAGUCCACACUGUAAACGAUGAUUACUAGGUGUUGGAGGAUUGACCCCUUCAGUGCCGCAGUUAACACAAUAAGUAAUCCACCUGGGGAGUACGACCGCAAGGUUGAAACUCAAAGGAAU